UACGAAGGGAGCUAGCGUUGUUCGGAAUCACUGGGCGUAAAGCGCACGUAGGCGGAUUUGUCAGUCAGGGGUGAAAUCCCGGGGCUCAACCUCGGAACUGCCUUUGAUACAGCAAGUCUUGAGUUCGAGAGAGGUGGGUGGAAUUCCUAGCGUAGAGGUGAAAUUCGUAGAUAUUAGGAAGAACACCGGUGGCGAAGGCGGCCCACUGGCUCGAUACUGACGCUGAGGUGCGAAAGCGUGGGGAGCAAACAGG
rnacentral:rRNA from 1 species